rnacentral:rRNA from 1 species
GAUAAACGCUGGCGGCGCACAUAAGACAUGCAAGUUGAACGGACUUAAUCGAACUAUUUAUAUUUUGAAGCGGUUAGUGGCGGACUGGUGAGUAACGCGUAAGGAACCUGCCUAUUAGAGGGGAAUAACAGUGAGAAAUCAUUGCUAAUACCGCAUAUGCCAUAGAUAUCACAUGAUAACAGUGGGAAAGGAGCAAUCCGCUAAUAGAUGGCCUUGCGUCUGAUUAGAUAGUUGGUGGGGUAACGGCCUACCAAGUCGACGAUCAGUAGCCGGACUGAGAGGUUGAACGGCCACAUUGGGACUGAGAUACGGCCCAGACUCCUACGGGAGGCAGCAGUCGGGAAUAUUGCGCAGUGGAGGAAACUCUGACGCAGUGACGCCGCGUAGAGGAAGAAGGUUUUCGGAUUGUAAACUAUUGUCGUUAGGGAAGAGAAAGGACAGUACCUAAGGAGGAAGCUCCGGCUAACUACGUG